rnacentral:rRNA from 1 species
CGUAUGGUGCAAGCGUUAUCCGGAUUUACUGGGUGUAAAGGGAGCGCAGGCGGUGCGGCAAGUCUGAUGUGAAAGCCCGGGGCUCAACCCCGGGACUGCAUUGGAAACUACCGAACUAGAGUGUCGGAGAGGUAAGUGGAAUUCCUAGUGUAGCGGUGAAAUGCGUAGAUAUUAGGAGGAACACCAGUGGCGAAGGCGGCUUACUGGACUGUAACUGACGUUGAGGCUCGAAAGCGUGGGGAGCAA